UAGAGGUCGCUUGCUGCUGUGUAGCAGCAUCCAGCAGCAGUAAAGUGCCAUGUGAAGCCCGCGCUUCUUGUUCUAUUGUCCUGCAGACAUGAGGUUCACAGACACGACCUGAAAAUGCUUUUCCUGAACACAAUGAGUGAGCCUGAGUAAGAUAACUCCCGUCGAGUUGUUAUUGUGUUUAUGAAUCUCAGCAUAGAUGAACUUGAUGGCGAGCCCAGUGAUUCAGAGGACGGUCACUUACGCAGUGUGGCCAGCUGCAGUACCUGCUCAGAGGACGUCAGAUUGCUUGACUCAUUGGGUUGACUCCAGAUAAGACACAUACACUCUAUUAACUUACCCGGGUAAUAAACAUUGACACUGAACACACAUAUCUGGAUUUUCCCCCUGAAACUGAACUCUUUUGAGCUUUGAACUCUUCUCUUCUCACAGCUCCUCUCUAUAGAGGAGCAUUUGAGCUGGAAGUCCAACUCGAAGGGACUUUCGGUUUUCUUUUAUUUUCA